rnacentral:ncRNA from 2 species
AUUCCUGGAAAUACUGUUCU